rnacentral:lncRNA from 1 species
CUUCUGUCAGUGCUUGAAGACUUUUUCCAAGAAAUAUUAAGACUCUAUCAGGUCUCACUUGUUAACGCAAAAGUCCUCAGGACAGAAGCCAGGACCAUCUUUGAAGUCACCAGCUAUUACCGGCAAAGGAAAACGAUUUAAAACAAAACAAGACGCUGCAUUGCUUCAUUGCACAAAAAGGUUAUAGUCUAAUUAAAGAAUAAAAUAUCACCCUGGAAGCAACAGAAGACCUGUGCAGUUUCCAGGUGGCGAUCAUUGCCUCGGACUUCAGUUAAAGAAAAGGAACAAUAAAGCACGGAACAUGGAGAACCUCUCUCAAUCCUCCACCACUGAGGAAUUUACGACUGCUAGAAGGACAAUUAAGCGGAGUCGGUCAGCCAGAAAACCAGCCUGAAAGCUGCGAGGGGUCUGGAGCAACAAUCAAAAUUAGAAAAAGGACAAAUCAUGCAUAUAUAACUUUUCUAUCAUGCUGUUGGAGAGAAUGGAGCUCAAACGUGUCUACUCCUCAGGAUCCUGGUUCUCUAUGGCUUCUGAGAGAGAAUCACAAGGUAACAGUAUAGUAUGAGCCCAUAGCUGACACAAAGAGAAGGGACAUUUUUUAUCAUUGCUAUUAACUAUAAGUGAGAAUAACUACUAACUGCAUAUGAAUAGAAAAUGAAAUACCUAGAGAUUGACAUAAAGUAAAAAUGAUUUUACAAAACCAAGGAAACUACAGAGAGUUCAAGUAUGGAUAAGAAAUGAGCUACUUAGAAAGUCACAAACCAGGCAGAGAG